rnacentral:lncRNA from 1 species
GAGCAUUUCUUCUUCAUGCAUGGAGGGAAUUUGAUGUAACUUGACACAAUUGUUGACGAUCAUGAGACAGAAUAUCAUGCAAAAGAACCAGGUCUGUGGUUCUAAGAUCAAGGUCACACUUAGAGGUCAAAGAUCAAAUUCAAGAAUGACUUUGUCUGGAGCAGUUCUUCUCUAUGCAUGAAGGGUUUUUAAUAUAACUUGGCACAAUUGUUCACCAUCAUGAGACGGAAUGUCAUGUGCAUGAACCAGGUCCCUAGGUCUCAAGUCAAGGUCACACUUAGAGGUCUAAGGUCAGAUACAAGAAUGACAACAAAAAUUUUCUUCUAACAAGCUCUCGAUGGGCAUAUUUUUUGACUAUGGCACACUUGUUGUAAAAUUUAGAAAAAUCUGAUAGAAAUGUGUUUAUUGGUGAAUGUUACAAAACUGAAGGCCGCAAAGCUCCUUUGUUAUACACUUCAGUCCUGAAAAUGGUAAUAUGUCUUGUGGAAUAGUUCCAUUAGGGCACAAAGGAUGGUGAAAUAUUCUGUACAGCUUAUGAGCAACUCCAUGUCUGUAUAAAUGAAUAAGGACAGUUAUGCUAUGUGACAUUUCAGUUUAAACAUGUUUUUAAGUAAAAUUUUUUUAUCAAAUUUGAAAGCGCUGUUUCUAGAUGCGUACAUAGUGCUUAAUAUCAUGUCGACAUGGUGUAAAACAUAAUACAAUGUAUCACUGUGAUGAUUAAAGCAUUGUUAGACAUAUUAGAAUUAUCAUUAAACACUUCUUGUACAUGAUCCUUUUUGGGAAAUCUUUAUUAUAUAAUAAGAUAUCUUAUAUUUUAGGACAAAGGGAAGACAACUCUGGUGAAUAUUUUAGCUGGCAAAGAGACCAAAACUUCCAAAGAAAGGCUAUAUAAGUAUUGUCAGAGAAGAGAAGAAGUCAAGAAAGGUUUCAAUAUCUGGUUGUUGUGGCUGAAGUUAAUGUUUCUUGGAGCAGCCCUUAUCCACCUAGUCUUCAUUUACAUUUGAACUAUAUAUACAUGUAUAUACAGGAUUGGACGCAUGCAUAAAAGGAAGAAGUACUACAUUUCUGUGCCGAAGGAUUAGAAACUACUCCAGACUGGCAGCCUCGACAGAUGUGUUUUGGAAAUUUGAACAGUGACUGAAUACUUUACUUUGAUUGUGGCAAACAAGUUCAUUGUUGAUGAUAGUAGUGUUUUUUGGGGUUUUUUUUGGAAAGAUUGACUAGUACAGUGUUAAUCUCUAGAAUUGCAGAGCUGUCAGUGCUGUGAUUUUGUUGUUAAAUUCAAAAUCCAUGUCCAAAAGUGCUUGUUCUUCAAUUAAGGACAAAGAAGGAGAAAUUGUACUGGGCCAACACCAUAACACCAUAAGAAGACAGUCUUGUUUGAUUUGUUUGUCUGUGGAUGAAAAGGGACCACCUUGCAGAAAGAUGUUUCAAAUUAAUAUUCUUAUGGUGGAUUUUAAUUACAUUUGAAAGAAAUAUAUAUGUUACAAGAAACAUGCGUUAGUUAGAAAUUAUGUUGUUAGAUUUCAUGUUUGUCAUUUAAAAGUCAAAUUUGGUUGUUUACAAACAUUGGUGCACAUAAACUGACAAGAUAAAAUGCAUUUAUAUAUUCAGUAUUAUACAGGUUGUCAACCAGUUUGUUUUUUUGUGUUUUCUUUUUCCGUGUUUUAAAGAUUGUAUUUUUGGAAAUCUACAUCCUUAUUUUUUCUGCAUUUUGAAUUAUAUCAAAUAAAUGUCACAUGUUCUUUGAAAAUUAAAAGAUGUGUUCAUUUCUAAAAUUUUCAUUGUUCUGUUGCUGACUUGGCUAAAAUAUUGACAAUGAGUAGCUGCAAGAAGUUUUAUAAAUGCCACUUUUAAAGAUUUGAAAAUAUGAACAAUUUCAUAGUAUCAAUGUAAAGAUACAAUUAACAUGUUUGUGUGUAUAAAGAGAACUUUGUUAGGUAUAAAAUAGUACACACAAAAUAUGUGCAUAGCUAAGUGUAGUAUAAAUGUGUACUCCCUCUGCAAAAGUGGAAGUUUUUGUACCCCUGUUUUGGAAAAACUGGACAUUUUAUGUGAUGGCUGUUUGCCUCCGUCUGUCUGUCUGUCCAUCCAUCCAUCCAUAAUUUGUGCCUGGAUCAUAACUUAAAAAGUAUUUACUGACUUAAAACUUGACAUUUAGGUAGGUUGCAAUGAGAUGAUAAGCUGAGUGCAAAAGGGUUUGUAGAUCAAAGGUCAAGGCCACAAAUUGAGGUCGAAGGUCAAAUCUGACAUGCUAUUUUAUGUCUGGAGUUUAUCUUUAAAAGCAUUCAAGGUAUUGAUUUUAAACUUUGCAUUUAAGUUGGUGGUGAUCAGACAAAAUGUGCAGAGCUCAAGAUCUGGGCCAAAAGGUCUGAGGUCAUGGUCACAGAUUGAGCUCAGAGGUCAAAUCUGACUUCUAUUUCAUGUUUUACUGGAGAAUGACUGGGUCUGCAGCUGAAUUACUAUAUAAGGUGGUUGUUGUCAGAACAUGACCACUAUUGGUCUUACACUUAAUGAGAUUAUUGCCCUUUUGAUUGAGGUUUAGUAGGUCAAAGGUCAAGGUCACAUUGGCUUUAAGGCUAAAACAGUUGCCUAUAAUUAUAAAAUGAUAUCUUGUGAUUAUAGAGGAUUUGUAACUUUUUGGUCAGUAUGCCAAACGCUAAGGUCAUAACAUAACUUGAGGCUGAAAAUAAUCCACCCAGUUACCCAGACAGGCCAUUAUUACAUACUCGUUUCUAUUCCCCAUUAAGUUACACUGGUACUGGAAACGUCAAUAUUUUUCCAUACACUGACGCCUGAAUUUCAUACCGGGUGCGUGACGUAAUUCAGUG